rnacentral:rRNA from 1 species
UACGUAGGGUGCGAGCGUUAAUCGGAAUUACUGGGCGUAAAGCGCACGUAGGCGGCUCUGUAAGUUAGAGGUGAAAGCCCGGGGCUCAACUCCGGAAUUGCCUUUAAGACUGCAUCGCUAGAAUUGUGGAGAGGUAAGUGGAAUUCCGAGUGUGGAGGUGAAAUUCGUAGAUAUUCGGAAGAACACCAGUGGCGAAGGCGACUUACUGGACACAUAUUGACGCUGAGGUGCGAAAGCGUGGGGAGCAAACAGG